rnacentral:rRNA from 1 species
CCCUUAGAUGUUCUGGGCUGCACGCGCGCUACACUGAAGCUAUCAACACGUUUUCCCUCCCUGAGAAGGGCGGGUAACCUUUUGAAUCAGCUUCGUGGUAGGGAUCGGGGCUUGCAAUUGUUCCCCGUGAACCAGGAAUUCCUAGUAGACGCGAGUCAUAAGCUCGCAUCGAUUAAGUCUCUGCCCUUUGUACACACCGCCCGUCGCUACUACCGAUUGAACGUUUUAGUGAGGCAUUUGGACCGACGCAUCUCAGUUUAACCGCUGGUUUGUGUUGGAAAGACUUCCAAACUUGAGCGUUUAGAGGAAGUAAAAGUCGUAACA